rnacentral:rRNA from 1 species
AGUGGCGGACGGGUGAGUAACGCGUGAGAAUCUGCCUUGGGGUCGGGGACAACCACUGGAAACGGUGGCUAAUACCGGAUAAGCCGAUUGGUGAAAGAUUUAUUGCCCGAAGAGGAGCUCGCGUCUGAUUAGCUAGUUGGUGAGGUAAGAGCUCACCAAGGCAGCGAUCAGUAGCUGGCCUGAGAGGACGAUCAGCCACACUGGGACUGAGACACGGCCCAGACUCCUACGGGAGGCAGCAGUGGGGAAUUUUCCGCAAUGGGCGAAAGCCUGACGGAGCAAGACCGCGUGAGGGAGGAAGGCUCUUGGGUUGUAAACCUCUUUUCUCAGGGAAGAAGCUCUGACGGUACCUGAGGAAUCAGCCUCGGCUAACUCCGUGCCAGCAGCCGCGGUAAUACGGAGGAGGCAAGCGUUAUCCGGAAUUAUUGGGCGUAAAGCGUCCGCAGGUGGCGAUUCAAGUCUGCUGUCAAAGCACGGGGCUUAACUCCGUAAAGGCAGUGGAAACUGAAUAGCUAGAGUGCCGUAGGGGUAGAGGGAAUUCCCGGUGUAGCGGUGAAAUGCGUAGAGAUCGGGAAGAACAUCGGUGGCGAAAGCGCUCUACUGGACGGCAACUGACACUCAGGGACGAAAGCUAGGGGAGCGAAUGGGAUUAGAUACCCC